GCGCCCGUAGCUCAGCUGGAUAGAGCACCAGACUACGAAUCUGGGGGUCAGGAGUUCAGAUCUCUUCGGGCGCGCCA
rnacentral:tRNA from 1 species